GAUGAACGCUGGCGGCGUGCCUAAUACAUGUAAGUCGAACGAGGUGCCUUUGUAGCAAUACGAGGGUAUCCUAGUGGCGAACGGGUGAGUAACGCGUUGGUGACCUGCCCCGAAGUGUGGGAUAACAGUCCGAAAGGACUGCUAAUACCGCAUGCGGUCAUCGGGUUUAGAAGCCGAUGACCAAAGCAGCAACGCGCUUUGGGAGGGACCUGAGUCCCAUCAGCUAGUUGGUAGGGUAACGGCCUACCAAGGCUACGACGGGUAGGGGACCUGAGAGGGUGACCCCCCACAAUGGAACUGAAACACGGUCCAUACACCUACGGGUGGCAGCAGUAGGGAAUAUUGCACAAUGGGCGAAAGCCUGAUGCAGCAACGCCGCGUGCACGAUGAAGGUCUUCGGAUCGUAAAGUGCUUUUCUGGGAGAUGAGAAAGGACAGUAUCCCAGGAAUAAGUCUCGGCUAACUACGUGCCAGCCACCGCCGUAA
rnacentral:rRNA from 1 species